rnacentral:rRNA from 1 species
UACGGAGGAUCCAAGCGUUAUCCGGAAUCAUUGGGUUUAAAGGGUCCGUAGGCGGCUUUAUAAGUCGGUGGUGAAAUCUCCCCGCUCAACGGGGAAACGGCCAUUGAUACUGUAAGGCUUGAAUUAUUAGGAAGUAACUAGAAUAUGUAGUGUAGCGGUGAAAUGCUUAGAUAUUACAUGGAAUACCGAUUGCGAAGGCAGGUUACUAUCAAUACAUUGACGCUGAUGGACGAAAGCGUGGGUAGCGAACAGG